rnacentral:lncRNA from 10 species
CCCGGGCUCCGCCCCAGGCUACCCGGGCUCUGCGCGCACGUGCAGUUUCUUGGAGUCCCGGAAGCGGAUCGCGGUGUGUGAAGGUGACACCGCCGAGCAAGAGUGUGCCUAGGUGUAGAUUAAGCCUUCGAUUCGCCGUCCCGCUUUUCCACACCCGCUCUGCUGACCUUAAAAUCCCCGCAUCGCGCCCUUCACCCGAGUCCUCACCUGCGAGGUGGAUUCCCGUCCUGAGCGCCUCCCAGCCUCUCCGUCGUCGGCCCUGGAGCGCAGCGCCGCAGACCGCGUCCUCCGCCUGGUCCUAGGCUCCUGCAGACCCUACCCUGUCCUAAGGCGCCGUCGCCCCCCACCUCCCUCCUCCUCGUGCCGGGCCCUGCUGCUCCCCAGGCCUCCCCUUCGCAGUCACCGCUUCCCCUGCGCCCGCGUUGGGGAGGUGCCCGGGGCCUGUCCUGUGACACCCGGUGUUCUUGCCUGCCCAGCUCCACCCGCUGGAAAAUGUGCUCCUCCAGGAUCCAGGUGUCUUACUCCAAACCCUCCUGUGAAUGUGUGGGCCAAAGGGAUCAGGAAACAGAGAGGGGCUGAGAGUGAAUUACAAAAACUGAGAGGAAAGAAUGAAGGAAACCCAUAAACACAUGGCAAAGUAGAGGAUGGGUCGGGAUUCGCAGAGACGGGAAGAGCGAAAGAAGGAUCCAGGCGCGGUGGCUCACGCCUGUAAUCCCAGCACUUUGGGAGGCCGAGGCGGGUGGAUCAUUUGAGGUCAGGAGUUCGAGACCAGCGUGCCCAACAUGGUGAAACCCCCGUCUCUACUAAAAAUUAGCCGGAUGUGGUGCUGCACGCCUGUAAUCUCAGCUACUCUGAGGGUGAGGCAGGCAAAUCGCUUGAUCCCGAGAGAGGGAGGUUGCAGUCAUCGGAGAUCGCGCCACUGCACUCCAGCCUGGGCGAGAGAGCAAGACUCCAC